ensembl:lncRNA
CUGCUGUCCAUCUCUCUGGCCAUCAGCAGGCUGUGCACUGCUUAACGCAGAGAAUGCGUUCUGCGAGAGGACCGCACCGUUGCUGCCCGCUGGUCCAAAACCGGAGGCACCAGAGAGUCCUCCUCCAUCACCGCUGCCACCCGAUGUGCUGUUUGCAAUCACAGGAGGCUGCGUAACGGCUGCGGGAGUGCCCGAUCCUCCUCCACCUCCUGCUGUGUGCUGGAAAACGGCUGGCUGGAUAAUGUUUGUGUUUCUCUGGGUAGAAGCACC